UUUUCCGGUUGAUCCUGCCGGAGGUCACUGCUAUUGGGAUUCGACUAAGCCAUGCGAGUCGAGAGGGUUCGGCCCUCGGCUGACGGCUCAGUAACACGUGGGUAAUCUGCCCUUAGGUGGAGGAUAAUCUCGGGAAACUGAGAAUAAUACUCCAUAGGUCUAGGAUACUGGAAUGCACUUAGGCUGAAAGUUCCGACGCCUAAGGAUGAGUCUGCGGACUAUCAGGUUGUAGUCAGGGUAAUGACCUGACUAGCCUACGACGGAUACGGGUUGUGAGAGCAAUAACCCGGAGAUGAUAUCUGAGACACGAUAUCAGGCCCUACGGGGCGCAGCAGGCGCGAAAACUUCACACUGUGCGAAAGCACGAUGAGGGAAUCCCAAGUGCUUGCACGUUAGUGUAAGCUGUUUCUAUGUUUAAAAUGCAUAGAGAGUAAGGGCUGGGUAAGACGGGUGCCAGCCGCCGCGGUAAUACCUGCAGCUCAAGUGGUGACCGCUAUUAUUGGGCCUAAAACGUCCGUAGCCGGUUUAAUAAAUGCCUGGGUAAAUCGUGUAGCUUAACUAUACGAAUUCCGGGUAGACUGUUAAACUUGGGACCGGGAGAAGCUAGAGGUACUCCUGGGGUAGAGGUGAAAUUCUGUAAUCCUAGGGGGACCACCAGUGGCGAAGGCGUCUAGCUAGAACGGGUCUGACGGUGAGGGACGAAGCCCUGGGGCGCAAACCGGAUUAGAUACCCGGGUAGUCCAGGGUGUAAACGCUGCUUGCUUGAUGUUGGUUGGGCUCCGAGCCCAAUCAGUGUCGGAGAGAAGUUGUUAAGCAAGCUGCCUGGGAAGUACGAUCGCAAGAUUGAAACUUAAAGGAAUUGGCGGGGGAGCA
rnacentral:rRNA from 1 species